rnacentral:rRNA from 1 species
UACAGAGGGUGCGAGCGUUGUCCGGAAUCACUGGGCGUAAAGGGCGCGUAGGUGGCGGCCCAAGUCCAUGGUGAAAGCUCGAUGCUCAACAUCGAGUCGGCCACGGAUACUGGGGUUGCUCGAGCACUGUAGGGGCAGAUGGAAUUCCCGGUGUAGCGGUGAAAUCGGCGUAGAGUAGUCGGGAAGGAACACCCUGUGGGCGAAAA